rnacentral:rRNA from 1 species
UACGUAGGGGGCGAGCGUUGUCCGGAAUCAUUGGGCGUAAAGCGCGUGUAGGCGGCCCGGUAAGUCCGCUGUGAAAGUCGGGGGCUCAACCCUCGAAAGCCGGUGGAUACUGUCGGGCUCGAGUACGGGAGAGGCGAGUGGAAUUCCUGGUGUAGCGGUGAAAUGCGCAGAUAUCAGGAGGAACACCGGUGGCGAAGGCGGUUCUCUGGGCAUUACCUGACGCUGAGGAGCGAAAGCGUGGGGAGCAAACAGG